CAAUAGCGUAUAUUAAAGUUGUUGCAGUUAAAAAGCUCGUAGUUGGAUUUCUGGGAGGGUGCCAAUGUCCGCCGUCGUGCGUGCGCAGCGGCGCCCUUCCAUCCUUCUGUUAACGCCUCUUGGCAUUCAUUUGCUGGUGGCGGGCUCAGAUAUUUUACCUUGAGAAAAUUAGAGUGUUUCAGGCAGGCUAGGCCGGAAUACAUUAGCAUGGAAUAAUGGAAUAGGACUACGGUCUCGUUGUUGGUUUGAGGGACUGCAGUAAUGAUUAAUAGGGAUAGUUGGGGGCAUUAGUAUUUAAUUGUCAGAGGUGGAAUUCUCGGAUUUGUUAAAGACUAACUUAUGCGAAAGCAUUUGCCAAGGAUGUUUUCAUUGA
rnacentral:rRNA from 1 species